CGUCAGAAGAUCCAGCAUUAUGAGAAACAGUGGGCGGAGUAUGAAGCCAAAAUUUCAUCUAUGGAGGAGAAGUGGCAGAAGCAGAUGUCUACAUUGCACCUAAGUUUAGCAGCUGCAAAAAAGAGCAUUGCCACUGAAGAAAGUGCCACAUUGCACCUAAAUUUACCAGCUGCAAAAAAGAGCAUUGCCACCGAAGAGAGUGCCACAUUGCAGACUUCUCCUGAAGAUGAUUCUGGGGACCUGAAGACUACAGGUG
rnacentral:lncRNA from 1 species